rnacentral:rRNA from 1 species
GACGAACGCUGGCGGCGUGCCUAAUACAUGCAAGUUGAGCGCUGAAGGUUGGUACUUGUACCAACUGGAUGAGCAGCGAACGGGUGAGUAACGCGUGGGGAAUCUGCCUUUGAGCGGGGGACAACAUUUGGAAACGAAUGCUAAUACCGCAUAAAAACUUUAAACACAAGUUUUAAGUUUGAAAGAUGCAAUUGCAUCACUCAAAGAUGAUCCCGCGUUGUAUUAGCUAGUUGGUGAGGUAAAGGCUCACCAAGGCGAUGAUACAUAGCCGACCUGAGAGGGUGAUCGGCCACAGUGGGACUGAGACACGGCCCAAACUCCUACGGGAGGCAGCAGUAGGGAAUCUUCGGCAAUGGACGAAAGGCUGACCGAGCAACGCCGCGUGAGUGAAGAAGGUUUUCGGAUCGUAAAACUCUGUUGGUAGAGAAGAACGUUGGUGAGAGUGGAAAGCUCAGCAAGUGACGGUAACUACCCAGAAAGGGACGGCUAACUACGUG